GGCGGAGUGGUGCAGUGGUUUGAGUGUUGGACUAGGACUCUGGAGAGCAAGGUUCGAAUCCUGGCACGGCCA